AUUGACGGCCAUACAGGCUUGGUCCCACCCGGUCCCAUUUCGAACCCGGAAGUGAAACGAGCACUGGUGGUUAGCGGCACUGGGAUCUUUCUUGGAGCCGCGCCAACGCUGUCAGUC
rnacentral:rRNA from 1 species